rnacentral:lncRNA from 1 species
CAACCUGCAGACGGGGCAGGUGAAUCUCAUGAGGAGUGAGAGGCCUCCACUGUUUGGACUGAGAGUGUAUGAUGCUCAAAGCCAGCAAGGUGAUAACGCCUGUCGGAUUAACUACGGAGGCUGCAGCUCGCUCUGUCUGGCUAUACCAGGAGGCCGUGUGUGCCUGUGCUGAUGACCAGACGCUGGAUAAGAACAACGUCACGUGUUCACGCACAUCCCAUGAACCAGAGGCCCAGCACUGCAGGAGCGAUGAGUUUCAGUGCAGGAACCUGCGCUGCAAUCCAGCUCUCGUGGAAGUGUGA